UGCAGUCGAACGAUGAUCCCAGCUUGCUGGGGGAUUAGUGGCGAACGGGUGAGUAACACGUGAGUAACCUGCCCUUGACUCUGGGAUAAGCCUGGGAAACUGGGUCUAAUACCGGAUACGACCAUCUGGCGCAUGUCAUGGUGGUGGAAAGCUUUUGUGGUUUUGGAUGGACUCGCGGCCUAUCAGCUUGUUGGUGGGGUAAUGGCCUACCAAGGCGACGACGGGUAGCCGGCCUGAGAGGGUGACCGGCCACACUGGGACUGAGACACGGCCCAGACUCCUACGGGAGGCAGCAGUGGGGAAUAUUGCACAAUGGGCGCAAGCCUGAUGCAGCGACGCCGCGUGAGGGAUGACGGCCUUCGGGUUGUAAACCUCUUUCAGUAGGGAAGAAGCGAAAGUGACGGUACCUGCAGAAGAAGCGCCGGCUAACUACGUGCCAGCAGCCGCGGUAAUACGUAGGGCGCAAGCGUUAUCCGGAAUUAUUGGGCGUAAAGAGCUCGUAGGCGGUUUGUCGCGUCUGCUGUGAAAGACCGGGGCUCAACUCCGGUUCUGCAGUGGGUACGGGCAGACUAGAGUGCAGUAGGGGAGACUGGAAUUCCUGGUGUAGCGGUGAAAUGCGCAGAUAUCAGGAGGAACACCGAUGGCGAAGGCAGGUCUCUGGGCUGUAACUGACGCUGAGGAGCGAAAGCAUGGGGAGCGAACAGGAUUAGAUACCCUGGUAGUCCAUGCCGUAAACGUUGGGCACUAGGUGUGGGGGACAUUCCACGUUUUCCGCGCCGUAGCUAACGCAUUAAGUGCCCCGCCUGGGGAGUACGGCCGCAAGGCUAAAACUCAAAGGAAUUGACGGGGGCCCGCACAAGCGGCGGAGCAUGCGGAUUAAUUCGAUGCAACGCGAAGAACCUUACCAAGGCUUGACAUGAACCGGAAAGACCUGGAAACAGGUGCCCCGCUUGCGGUCGGUUUACAGGUGGUGCAUGGUUGUCG
rnacentral:rRNA from 1 species